rnacentral:rRNA from 1 species
UACAGAGGUCCCAAGCGUUGUUCGGAUUCAUUGGGCGUAAAGGGUGCGUAGGCGGCGCGGUAAGUCGGGUGUGAAAUCUCGGAGCUUAACUCCGAAACUGCAUUCGAUACUGCCGUGCUUGAGGACUGGAGAGGAGACUGGAAUUUACGGUGUAGCGGUGAAAUGCGUAGAUAUCGUAAGGAAGACCAGUGGCGAAGGCGGGUCACUGGACCGGUACUGGACGCUGAGGCGCGAAAGCGUGGGGAGCAAACAGG